GGAUCUCGGAGGCGAAGUUGCUAGAAGAUACGUAAGAGGGCCCCAGUGGAGAUGGAACAACCAAAGGACGGGGCUGGGCCUGAAGGGUGAGACAAACAAAGACCUCCUGAGAGGGGGACAGAGACCCAGAGAGAGGAGGGGACAGAGAAAACGAGAGAGAAAGGGCGCGCUGAACAGACCUGCAUAGAGAAUCAGGAAAAACAAAAAAGGCUCAGGAACAACCUGUCCCUGCCGUCAUCUGGGACCGAGCCAUGGCCCCCUGCGCCUCUCCCAGCCCCUCCACCCUUGCUCCUGAACUCCACAGACCCCACCCACCUGGGGCUCCCGGAGAGCGUGGCCUCUGUCACCGUGCCCAUACGCCUGGACACCCUCUCCUGCCUCCUGCACAGCGCCCUGCUGGGGGCCUACACCUUCCAACAGGCCUUGCCCUCUUGCCCCUGCUGCUCCCAGGCAGGCCACUCCCAGCCGGGGGCAGUUAGGAGGCCUCCCAGGGGACGCGGAGGCUGGGAAGUCAGGCACAGGCCAGGCUGGGGCCGAGGCCUGCAUCGACGGGGCCUUGGGAGAGCUGAGCAGCCAGAGAGGGGCCGGGCGGGGGGCCCUGGGGCUGGCCCCAGGACCCCACCAAUGACACUGCCAUCACCACCAACACUGCCUGCCCAGGAUGGGAAGAAAGAAGCUCGAGGUCCAGAGCCACCCCUGGAAACACCACUGGCUGCUGAGGACUGGGAGACAGAGUACUAGGACCUUGGAGGGUCAGGCACCUGAGAUUGCAGUCACCCAGGAGGGUU
rnacentral:lncRNA from 10 species